AAGGGACCUAGCGUAGUUCGGAAUUACUGGGCUUAAAGAGUUCGUAGGUGGUUGAAAAAGUUGGUGGUGAAAUCCCAGAGCUUAACUCUGGAACUGCCAUCAAAACUUUUCAGCUAGAGUAUGAUAGAGGAAAGCAGAAUUUCUAGUGUAGAGGUGAAAUUCGUAGAUAUUAGAAAGAAUACCAAUUGCAAAGGCAGCUUUCUGGAUCAUUACUGACACUGAGGAACGAAAGCAUGGGUAGCGAAGAGGAUUAGAUACCCUCGUAGUCCAUGCCGUAAACGAUGUGUGUUAGACGUUGGAAAUUUAUUUUCAGUGUCGCAGGGAAACCGAUAAACACACCGCCUGGGGAGUACGACCGCAAGGUUAAAACUCAAAUGAAUUGACGGGGACCCGCACAAAUAGUGGAGCAUGUGGUUUAAUUCGAAGAUACGCGCAGAACCUUACCAACACUUGACAUGUUCGUCGCGACUCUAAGAGAUUAGAGUUUUCGGUUCGGCCGGACGAAACACAGGUGCUGCAUGGCUGUCGUCAGCUCGUGUCGUGAGAUGUUGGGUUAAGUCCCGCAACGAGCGCAACCCUCACUUUUAGUUGCCAUCAUUAAGUUGGGCACUCUGAAAGAACUGCCAGUGAUAAGCUGGAGGAAGGUGGGGAUGACGUCAAGUCCUCAUGGCCCUUACGUGUUGGGCUACACACGUGCUACAAUGGCAUCUACAACAGGAAGCAAAACGGCAACGUUAAGCAAAUCCCGAAAAGAUGCCUCAGUUCGGAUUGCACUCUGCAACUCGAGUGCAUGAAGCUGGAAUUACUAGUAAUCGUGGAUCAGCGUGCCACGGUGAAUGCGUUCCCGGGUCUUGUACACACCGCCCGUCGCACCAUGGGAGUUGGUUCUACCUUAAGGCAAGGUUUUAAACCCUUGACCACGGUAUAGUCAGCGACUGGGGUGAAGUCGUAACAAGGUAGCCGUAGGGGAACCUGCGGCUGGAUUACCUCCUUUCUAAGGAUGAGUGAAAGUAAAAUUUCACUCUAAAUAAUAUACAUCGGUAAUGUUGACCGUCCUCAUUUCUCUUCUUAAAGUAAUGUUUCCUUCUUGUAGGGCCGGUAGCUCAGUUGGUUAGAGCACACCCUUGAUAAGGGUGGGGUCGAAAGUUCGAGUCUUUCUCGGCCCACCAAAAACCUAAAUGGGGGGAUUAGCUCAUCUGGGAGAGCGCCUGAUUUGCAUUCAGGAGGUAGCAGGUUCGAUCCCUGUAUCCUCCACCAGGAAACAUUUAGUUAUUAAAACUGUAAAUAAAAAUAAUUUAUAUCAAUAUCUAUAUCCGAACAUUAAAAGUUAUUAUUUAAUGUUCAAAAUAAAAAUUUGAUCACAACAUAGGUAAAUUUUCUUUAAAAAGAAUUUUUUUCUGUGCAUAAAUCAAGCGUUUAAGGGCGUGUAGUGGAUGCCUUGGCACUGAAAGCCGAUGAAGGACGUGAUAUACUGCGAUAAGUUUCGGGGAGCUGUAUGUAAGCUUUGAUCCGAAAAUUU
rnacentral:sRNA from 1 species